rnacentral:rRNA from 1 species
UGGGGGAUAUUGCACAAUGGGCGAAAGCCUGAUGCAGCGACGCCGCGUGGGGGAUGAAGGCCUUCGGGUUGUAAACUUCUUUUGCUCUGAACAAGGCAUGCUAAUGGGUGUGUUGAGUGUAGGGGUUGAUUAGCGCCGGCUAACUACGUGCCAGCAGCCGCGGUAAUACGUAGGGCGCGAGCGUUGGCCGGAAUUAUUGGGCGUAAAGGGCUUGUAGGUGGCUGGUUGCGUCUGUCGUGAAAGCUCAUGGCUUAACUGUGGGUUUGCGGUGGGUACGGGCUGGCUUGAGUGCAGUAGGGGAGGCUGGAAUUCCUGGUGUAGCGGUGGAAUGCGCAGAUAUCAGGAGGAAUACCGGUGGCGAAGGCGGGUCUCUGGGCUGUUACUGACACUGAGGAGCGAAAGCAUGGGGAGCGAACAGG